rnacentral:rRNA from 1 species
GGAAUCUUCCACAAUGGGCGCAAGCCUGAUGGAGCAACACCGCGUGAGUGAAGAAGGGUUUCGGCUCGUAAAGCUCUGUUGUUAAAGAAGAACACGUAUGAGAGUAACUGUUCAUACGUUGACGGUAUUUAACCAGAAAGUCACGGCUAACUACGUGCCCG